AGAAAGAAACUCAAAUCUGAACUCUUCAUGUCAGCUGUCACUCACUGCAUCUCAGAUCAAUGUUUGGUCAGAAGAUCAGAGUUCAUCAGUGAGAAUAACCUGCUUCUACACUGUGAAGAAGGGAACAGAGAAUGUACCAUCUCCUCACUCUGAUCCAGUGACAGUCACAGUCCAGAACCAAUUGCUUCAUUUCUGUCUGGACUCAUAGGACUGAUCUCUCUGUGCUGUUUUACUAGUUCUAUUGUUGUUCUCAUAGAAGUGAACUACACCUCCUGCCAGAUGGAGAAAACACCUCUGUUUACUUCUGUGCUCCUCAAAACAUCAGUAACUUGCUUAAUUUCUACACUUGAUGCAGUUAUUGUUAUUUAGAAAAAAAUCAUAUGUCAUGAUGACACGAAAACAUCAUGUCAUCUUUGAUGCAGAUUCAAUAUGGAAUGUUGAGGGAUGUUGUUGCAGAUUCAAAAUAGGAUCAGUUAAGAUCUGAAACUUAAAAUAAAAAAA